CUACAUUGCCAAUAUGAAUGAGGUCCCACUCACAUUUGAUGUGACAUCAAACAGAACUGUGGACAUCAAAGGAGCAAAGACCGUGGCUGUUAAAACCAGUAGUCAUGAGAAGACACAUUUCACUGUUGUUCUAGCCUGUUGUGCAGAUGGGACAAAGCUACCACCUAUGAUCAUCUUUAAAA